rnacentral:tRNA from 1 species
GGUUGUGGCUUAGUGGUAGAGUGCUUGCCUUGAACAUGCGAGACCAUGGGUUCGAUCCUCAGCACCA